rnacentral:rRNA from 1 species
UACGAAGGGGGCUAGCGUUGCUCGGAAUCACUGGGCGUAAAGCGCACGUAGGCGGCUCUUUAAGUCAGGGGUGAAAUCCUGGAGCUCAACUCCAGAACUGCCCUUGAUACUGAGAGGCUCGAGUCCGGGAGAGGUGAGUGGAACUGCGAGUGUAGAGGUGAAAUUCGUAGAUAUUCGCAAGAACACCAGUGGCGAAGGCGGCUCACUGGCCCGGUACUGACGCUGAGGUGCGAAAGCGUGGGGAGCAAACAGG